ACUUUCUUGGCAGAAAAAGUGCGGUAAAUUUAAGUUUUACAAAUGUGAUUUAUUAUCACAGAAAGUA
rnacentral:tRNA from 1 species